UACGGAGGGGCUAGCGUUGUUCGGAAUUACUGGGCGUAAAGCGCACGUAGGCGGCUGUUCAAGUCAGAGGUGAAAGCCUGGAGCUCAACUCCAGAACUGCCUUUGAAACUAGACAGCUAGAAUCAUGGAGAGGUGAGUGGAAUUCCGAGUGUAGAGGUGAAAUUCGUAGAUAUUCGGAAGAACACCAGUGGCGAAGGCGGCAUCACUGGACAUGUAUUGACGCUGAGGUGCGAAAGCGUGGGGAGCAAACAGG
rnacentral:rRNA from 1 species